rnacentral:rRNA from 1 species
GAUGAACGCUGGCGGCGUGCCUAAUACAUGCAAGUCGAGCGAACGGACGAGAAGCUUGCUUCUCUGAUGUUAGCGGCGGACGGGUGAGUAACACGUGGAUAACCUACCUAUAAGACUGGGAUAACUUCGGGAAACCGGAGCUAAUACCGGAUAAUAUUUUGAACCGCAUGGUUCAAAAGUGAAAGACGGUCUUGCUGUCACUUAUAGAUGGAUCCGCGCUGCAUUAGCUAGUUGGUAAGGUAACGGCUUACCAAGGCAACGAUGCAUAGCCGACCUGAGAGGGGGGACGGCCACCCCUGGACCUAGGACCGGGCCAGGCUCCCACGGGAGGCAGCAGUAGGGAAUCUUCCGCAAUGGGCGAAAGCCUGACGGAGCAACGCCGCGUGAGUGAUGAAGGUCUUCGGAUCGUAAAACUCUGUCAUUAGGGAAGAACAUAUGUGUAAGUAACUGUGCACAUCUUGACGGUACCUAAUCAGAAAGCCACGGCUAACUACGUG